UUUGAUGAGGAGAAUAAACCUCAUUAUAGUUCAUAGUAAAGAUCAAUGAAAAGACUUUUUCUCCUCUUACUAUCAGACUUAUGUUAUCUGAGCUUAAAGAACUGGAAAGCACACAUCAAAGGAGCAUUCCCAUGGAAGAAGAGG
rfam:Choloepus hoffmanni cont1.163000, whole genome shotgun sequence.